rnacentral:misc_RNA from 1 species
CUGAAAUCAAGCUUCCUAAUGCUCCUCUCCAAGAACUGAAUCCUCCACUGCAGAAAUUUCACACGCUUCUCCUCAUUAGCAAAGCAAUUCUGAUACAGCUCCUUGUCCUGAAAAGCACCAAAAACAUUAUAGCACACAGGAUGACCUUCUUUGUCAAAUCCGUGCAUAAACACAGCCUUUUCCAAUUCAUUUCCAAGGUCUUCUUCAAGCAGAGCAUCAAUUCCAAAAUCCUUUCUCCAGCGCACUGUGUUCUUGAUCAUAGUGAAGGCAUCCUUCACCUUGAAAUCCCUGGCUCUCAGGAAUUUCAAGAGGAUCACAUCGCUCUUCUCAUCUCCAACUAGUNGGAAUUCCCCAGAUGAAAACUUCCUCCGGGGGUGGCGGAGGAGGAGCGGGGGUUUCCUCAGCUUUGGGUUCCUCUACUGGAGCAGCCUCAACUUCUUUAGCGGGGGCUGACUCCUCUGCAGCAGGAGGAGUCGAAGAAAUAUUACGGUCUCCUCAAUUGCCUCUACUGUCUUGGCUCCAUCCUCAUCCACAGUAGUCACCUUCGCCACCACCUCUUCAGCGACCACAACAGCUUCCGCCACUGGCUCAUCCUUCUUUUCUUCUUUUACUUCCACCUUCUCCUCUUCUUUCACUUCAACCUUCUCUUCCUCUUUCACUUCCACUGGCGGUGGGGGUGGUGGGGUUACAGUCUCAGCCUCGGCGGGUUUAGGUUCUUCAGUUUUGGCCACUUCACUCGUAGAUGGAACAUCAGGAGUUUUCUCUUCUUCCUUGACUUCAACCUUUUCUUCCUCCUUCACUUCAACUUUCUCCUCCACCUUCUCCUCUGCUUUUUCAGGCUCAGCCGGCUUCUCCUCCUCUUUAGCAGGUGGCGGCGGCGGGGGAGCAGUGAACUGAUGCUUAUUAAGAGCUUCUUGGAUAUGCUGUUUCAACUCAUCAAGGGCUUUCUUUUGAGCGUCAGGGAGUUCACCAACAACAUUAGUCUCUUCCUUAAAAGAAACCGAUUGGGUAAUUUUCACUUCCUUAGUUUCCUUAGGUUUGUCAGCUUCAACAGCGACCUCCUCUUCAACAACAGGUGCAGGCUUUUCCGGUGCCUCAGGUUCCGGUUCAGGAGCCGGUGGAGGCUCUUUCUCAGUAACGGGCUUCUCCACAACUACUUCC